AGCCGAGUGUUGGUGACAGAUUGAGAGAGAAGGAGCAAACCACAGCAUUGUGUUUUAAAGCAACCCAGUGGAACAAAGGGAUCUAUGAAUACUGGUGAAGUCCCUUCUGUGAACUACGCAACAGAAGCUGCUGUCCCAAUCCACAGUUGCUCCUUCCCACUGGCAAACAGCCUUAGGAGGAGCUGUUCAUAGGUUGUGCCUGCUAAGUGUUGGAGGUGAAGAAGUGCAUGCCCAUGCUCUUUGCCUUUCUUGCUGAGGACAGGUACAACGUGGGCAUUGAGGACUGAACAUAUUUCCAGAUCUCCUUUUGGCAGCUGGAUGAGAAGGGAAUACCACUGCAAAGGAAGGAUUACUGAGGCGAGGUUCAAGUUGUACUCAAAGGGAACACAAAUGCUGUGCAUUACACGUAUCACCAUCACAACAGAACUGUGUUUGGGGAAAUCAAGAACUGAACAGAUCCUUUUUUAUUUCCACUCAUUUUCAGGGUGGUUCUCCCCAGACAAAGAUAAAGCAGUCAGAAUACAUUCCUUGAAGAGUUGGGCCUAGCAAUAUGGCAGCGCACAUUCGAUAAGAAAUCUUGUAAAAUGCUGCUACUGA